rnacentral:rRNA from 1 species
CGAUUCCGGAGAGGGAGCCUGAGAAACGGCUACCACAUCUAAGGAAGGCAGCAGGCGCGCAAAUUACCCAAUCCUAAUACAGGGAGGUAGUGACAAGAAAUAACAAUACAGGACCUUUAAUGGUUUUGUAAUUGGAAUGAGUUAAGUAUAAACCCCUUUACAAGUAUCAAUUGGAGGGCAAGUCUGGUGCCAGCAGCCGCGGUAAUUCCAGCUCCAAUAGCGUAUAUUAAAGUUGUUGCAGUUAAAAAGCUCGUAGUUGGAUUUCUGUUAAUUACUUUAUAUAAUUUUACACUUUUUUGUGUAGUUAUAUAGUAUUAACAUAAUUCAUAUUACUAUAUUUUUUGUAGUAUAUGAAAUUUUACUUUGAGAAAAUUAGAGUGCUUAAAGCAGGCUUUUGCCUUGAAUACUUCAGCAUGGAAUAAUA